UAUUUGCUUGUGUGUAUAGCUCA
rnacentral:siRNA from 1 species